ensembl:lncRNA
AUGCUCCUCUUCUCGGUGUUGCUCUGCUUCAUCCAGUGGACAGAGAGAGCUUGUUGUUGGCGCAGGUUGCCCCCUGCAGCUUCAGACCUGCGCACAGACAGACAGACAGAACGCUCUGAGACCCAGCAGACACUGACACGCUCCUCAUCUCUCUCUCGGGCCGCUCUCACCUCUGAUGCCGAAGCUGCAGGCGUCCAGCGCCGCUCCCUGCGCAGACGUCACGUUCACCUCCAGACACAGCUCCUCCAGAGACCAGCUGUUGACCUGAGCCACAUACUGACGCGUGGCUGUGAUGUAGGCCUCCGGCACGAACAGACCGCCCAGGUUCACAUGGAUGUUCUGCAGGAGAACAACAGUCAGUUCAACACUUAGAAAGCUGGAGAGGAGACCACGCCGUCCUGCGAGUUUUCUGCAGCACUUUAUUAAAUCCAGAAUGAGUCCGAGCAGCUUCACAGUGAUAAGAAGGAACACCGCACCCAACUAUGUUUCAAAAAUCAUGUUUUAAUUGUGACCAUGAUUUCUGCUUCUCUUGAUUUAUUAAGUGUAACUGUCUGCAAUAUUUGCCUGCUGACUAUUAAUCCUGAAACAUUUAAUUUGGCAUGUGCAUGAUCUUGGAUGGAACUGGGUGAAAUAUUCAGAAAGGAAUCAGUCCAGUCUGACCUGUGUUGCAGGCUGGAAUUAAACCACAUCGCGCUGGUUUCUCCCAAGGUUUCUUCUCCAUUUCUGUCACCGAUGGAGUUUUGGUUUCUUGCCGCUGUCGCCUUUGGCUUGCUUAGUUGGGGACACUCAGGAACCAAGCUCUUUAUAGAUUAACCAACCUCAUCAUUGUUGGCCUUUACACAGUUAUUAAACUGCCCUGAAUCAGCAAUGAACUGAUUUCAACUGAAUGACUUUUUAGAGCUGCUUUAGAGCAGAAUUGAACUUUGUUUGCAUCACUGAAUCAAUAUUUUCUUGUUUAUCACUGUAAAGCUGCUUUGAAACAAUCUGUACUGUAUAAAGCGCUCUAGAAAUAAAGGUGACUUGACUUUGGUAACAAGCUUUCCAGGUUGAGUUUAAAUCCUCCAUUCAGAGCUUUCCUCUUAAACCGAAACAUUUCCAGCCCAGUGGUUUACUUAAUCUUCCCAACCUGGCAACCAUCCGCACACUCUCUAUGAUCUGAAAAAUCAUGUUAAGUUGGAGUUUAGCGAUCUCUAUUGAGAUAUUGUGAUAACCGUGUAAUACAGCCAGUCUGUUAGCGGUGACUAAAGCAUGCGAGUCGAUGUUCUCGAUCUGCGCCGAGGCUCAGUCCGGUCUGAUGUGUGUGUUUUUGACACCUUGAGCUCUUUAGCGCCGCCGCUGGCCGCUCCCUGUGAGAUCUGCUGCAGCUGCUUGAUCCGCUCGCUGAAGUCUGCCACCCACUGGAUGACGGUCAUGGCUGCGGGGACGGUGUAGCGGCUCCAGCUGCGGGGCAGGAUGCCUGCGGAGCACAGCACAGCGCUUCAGUGACCCGGCGCACACAAGACACUGAUCUGAGGUCACUCCGCUGACUCACCUUUGACCAGGUCGUUGAUGAGCGUGCGCAGGUCGUUGGUCUGCUUCUUCUUGCCCUCGCACACAUGCACCACAUCAGUGAGAUCCUGACGCACGUCCUGCAGCAUCCGCGAGCCCAUCUUCACCUCGCGCUCGAAGAACCGGAACAGAGGAUCCUGGGAAGAACAGACGCUUUCAGGAAGUCAACAACAAAACACGGAGCGUUUGAUCAGACACAAUCUGAGCUGCCAUCAGGGGCAAAGGUGUGUAUCACUUCUAAAUAGGGUUACAAAAAAGUGGAAAAUUUCCAGUAAAUUUCAGAAACAUUCCAGGAUUUUUUGGGAUUUUUGAAGUUUCCAGAAAUUUACCAGAAAUUUGCAACCCAACUUCU